rnacentral:rRNA from 1 species
GAUGAACGCUGACGGCGUGCCUAAUACAUGCAAGUCGAGCGAACGGACGAGAAGCUUGCUUCUCUGAUGUUAGCGGCGGACGGGUGAGUAACACGUGGAUAACCUACCUGUAAGACUGGGAUAACUUCGGGAAACCGGAGCUAAUACCGGAUAAUAUUUUGAACCGCAUGGUUCAAAAGUGAAAGACGGUCUUGCUGUCACUUAUAGAUGGAUCCGCGCUGCAUUAGCUAGUUGGUAAGGUAACGGCUUACCAAGGCAACGAUGCAUAGCCGACCUGAGAGGGUGAUCGGCCACACUGGAACUGAGACACGGUCCAGACUCCUACGGGAGGCAGCAGUAGGGAAUCUUCCGCAAUGGGCGAAAGCCUGACGGAGCAACGCCGCGUGAGUGAUGAAGGUCUUCGGAUCGUAAAACUCUGUUAUUAGGGAAGAACAUAUGUGUAAGUAACUGUGCACAUCUUGACGGUACCUAAUCAGAAAGCCACGGCUAACUACGUG